UACGGGGGGGGCAAGCGUUGUUCAGAAUUACUGGGCGUAAAGGGCUCGUAGGUGGCCAACUAAGUCGGACGUGAAAUCCCUCGGCUUAACCGGGGAACUGCGUCUGAUACUGGAUGGCUUGAGUUCGGGAGAGGGAUGCGGAAUUCCAGGUGUAGCGGUGAAAUGCGUAGAUAUCUGGAGGAACACCGGUGGCGAAGGCGGCAUCCUGGACCGACACUGACGCUGAGGAGCGAAAGCCAGGGGAGCAAACGGG
rnacentral:rRNA from 1 species